rnacentral:rRNA from 1 species
GACGAACGCUGGCGGCGUGCUUAACACAUGCAAGUCGAACGGAAAGGCCCUGCUUUUGUGGGGUGCUCGAGUGGCGAACGGGUGAGUAACACGUGAGUAACCUGCCCUUGACUUUGGGAUAACUUCAGGAAACUGGGGCUAAUACCGGAUAGGAGCUCCUGCUGCAUGGUGGGGGUUGGAAAGUUUCGGCGGUUGGGGAUGGACUCGCGGCUUAUCAGCUUGUUGGUGGGGUAGUGGCUUACCAAGGCUUUGACGGGUAGCCGGCCUGAGAGGGUGACCGGCCACAUUGGGACUGAGAGACGGCCCAGACUCCUACGGGAGGCAGCAGUGGGGAAUAUUGCACAAUGGGCGGAAGCCUGAUGCAGCAACGCCGCGUGCGGGAUGACGGCCUUCGGGUUGUAAACCGCUUUCGCCUGUGACGAAGCGUGAGUGACGGUAAUGGGUAGAGAAGCACCGGCUAACUACGUG